rnacentral:tRNA from 1 species
GAGGGUAUAGCUCAGUGGUAGAGUGCGUGCUUGGCAUGCGUGAGAUCCUGAGUUCAAUCCCCAGUACUGUUG